GCAAUGGUGGUUCAGUGAUAGAAUUCUUGCCUUCCAUGCAGGAAACUCUGGUUCGAUUCCCGGCCAAUGCA
rnacentral:tRNA from 1 species